ensembl:lncRNA
CGGAAAUGGGCUGCUGUAGUUGUGUGAAUGCAUCGCUCCAGCCAAUCCAAAGACGGGGUUUGUAACCAAUCAGAUGUAGAGACCAUGUGACUGGCUCCGCCCCCUUACUGUCUGAAAGAACAACAGGGAGCGCGUAGAAAACUCCUUCGCGGCGCGAGCAGAGAUUCUCCUCGCGAGCAACGUCCAAAGUUCACGUCUCGCAAGCGAGCAAAUACCUCACUCGAGACGGACUUUUGCUGGCGGAUGUAUGAUUUACGCGCGCGCAUCAACCUGAUUUGCGCUCUCGAAUUUUGACAGUGAUUUGCGCUGAUAGACUGCAGUAUCUUAUGCGCCUUAUUGUGCGGAAAACACGGCACAUGAGCUCCGGAGAAAAUGGUAUACAAAACAUACAUUGCCGGUUAAUACAUUUUUAAUCGUUUGAAUUCUUAAGGUCAUUUAAUCAUCCCUAGUUUAUGUUUUGAUCAGAGUUGUGAUUAAAGGUUUGGGUGUGCCGCAAAAGAUUUUCAGAUUUCAAAGUGGGCCGCGGCAUUCUUCAGUUUGGGAACCGCUGUGCUAAGCAAAAUGCAGCUCUGGCGUGGAAAGAACCCUAACCCUAAACAUAAAGACGGGGAAAAACAACAAACAUAAACAUAAAGACGAUAAACAUAAACAUAAAGACGGGAAGACGUAAAAACGAAAAAAAUAAACAUAAAGACGCGAAAAACGACAAACAUAAACACGGGAAAAUCGACAAACAUAAACAUGAAGACGGGAAAAACAACAAACAUGAACAUAAAGACGGGAAAAUCUACAAACUAAAACAUGAAGACGCAAAAAACGACAAACAUAAAGACGGGAAAAUCGACAAACAUAAACAUAAAGACGGGAAAAACAACAAACAUAAACCUAACGUACCCAAGAGGACAAACAUAAACAUAAACAUAAAGACGU